CAUCGGAGGAUAAAGCACUGGCAGACUCCCCUGGAUGGGGCGACAGUUUAGGCCUGUCGCUGCCCUCUGGAUGUACCUAUCAGCCUCCUACAGGACCGUGAGAGAGCUGGGACAUGGCAGGUCAACCCCAGCCCUGUAGCUGCAUCUGGGAAAGUGCUGAGGUGGAACCGACUACCUCAGCAAAAGAGGCAUAAACCUGAUGACCAGGCAGCUCUCUGAAGCUCUCAGACACCAUACAGCUUCAUCCUGGAGCUCUCAGACACCACACAGCUUCAUCCUGGAGAGAAGAAGCCUUGUGGACAUUCCCCCAAACCUCCACUCUGAAACAUCCUUUUUUUGCAUCCAGUGGAGAAUCUACUACCAAGGAAGACACACUGACUUUAUGACAUAUCACUGUUAGUCAGAAAAUGA